UGCAGAGGAGAAAGGAGGGCAAGUUGGCGUCUAUGUGUCUUUGGAGGGAGAGGAGAGGGAGACGUUGGGGCUCGAUCGAGGACUUAAGCUAGAGGAGUAGGCGCGCGUGGCGUGGCCCCUUGGGUGGCUGGAGUAGCCUGUUGCAGGUAGACGCGGCACGUUGCUGCACGAGUAAGAUGUAUUACCGCGAUGGCGGCUGCUGGGGUUGAGGCUGAGGCUCGAUGUUGGUAUAAGAACAAUAGUAACAGCUUAGACUGCCUUCGUAGUCCUAGUAGGCAUAAGUUUCGCUCCGGUGGGUUAUCGUCGUCCAUACCUUGGAAAGAUACGCCGCGACGAUGUGUUUGAACGUAGUCUUUGGUUAUAUCACAGUAUGCACCGUCGGGGCGUCGCUGGCACCCGUUGGCCUCCUGGUAGGUGGAUUUUAGGUACGGGUUCUGGUUCUGGUUCCGGUUGUAGCGAGCACGCGUUCUUUAACUGAACAUUUUGUGGUUGACGAAGACUUUCGGUAGUCAAAUACUUC
rnacentral:rRNA from 1 species